GAUGAACGCUGGCGGCGUGCCUAAUACAUGCAAGUCGAGCGAACGGACGAGAAGCUUGCUUUUCUGAUGUUAGCGGCGGACGGGUGAGUAACACGUGGAUAACCUACCUAUAAGACUGGGAUAACUUCGGGAAACCGGAGCUAAUACCGGAUAAUAUUUUGAACCGCAUGGUUCAAAAGUGAAAGACGGUCUUGCUGUCACUUAUAGAUGGAUCCGCGCUGCAUUAGCUAGUUGGUAAGGUAACGGCUUACCAAGGCAACGAUGCAUAGCCGACCUGAGAGGUGGAGCGCACACACGGGAAGUGAGACCGGCCCAAGACCCCGAAGGGAGGAGGAGGGGGGGAACUUUCCGAAGGGGGGGAAGGCCGGACGGAGCACCGCGGGGUGAGGGAUGAAGGUCUCCGGAUCUAAAACUUUUUUUAUGGGGAAAAAACAUAUUUUAAAGUACCUGUGCACUUCUGGACGGUCCCUAAUCAAAAACCCACGGCAAACUCCGGC
rnacentral:rRNA from 1 species